rnacentral:rRNA from 1 species
UACGUAAGUGGCGAGCGUUAUCCGGAAUUACUGGGCGUAAAGCGUGCGUAGGCGGUUUAGUGUGUGGGAAUUGAAAGCCCGGGGCUCAACUCCCGGAUCCGGUUCCCAAACUGCUAGACUCGAGAGUAUCAGAGGAGAGCGGAAUUCCCGGUGUAGCGGUAAUAUGCGUAGAUAUCGGGAGGAACACCAGUGGCGAAGGCGGCUCUCUGGGGUAUUUCUGACGCUGAGGCACGAAAGCCAGGGGAGCGAACGGG